GAUGAACGCUAGCUACAGGCUUAACACAUGCAAGUCGAGGGGAAACGACAUCGAAAGCUUGCUUUUGAUGGGCGUCGACCGGCGCACGGGUGAGUAACGCGUAUCCAACCUGCCCACCACUUGGGGAUAACCUUGCGAAAGUCAGACUAAUACCCAAUGACGUCUCUAGAAGACAUCUGAAGGAGAUUAAAGAUUUAUCGGUGAUGGAUGGGGAAGCGUCUGAUUAGCUUGUUGGCGGGGUAACGGCCCACCAAGGCGACGAUCAGUAGGGGUUCUGAGAGGAAGGUCCCCCACAUUGGAACUGAGACACGGUCCAAACUCCUACGGGAGGCAGCAGUGAGGAAUAUUGGUCAAUGGGCGAGAGCCUGAACCAGCCAAGUAGCGUGCAGGAUGACGGCCCUAUGGGUUGUAAACUGCUUUUAUAAGGGAAUAAAGUGAGUCUCGUGAGACUUUAUGCAUGUACCUUAUGAAUAAGGACCGGCUAAUUCCGUGCCAGCCGCCGCAGUAA
rnacentral:rRNA from 1 species